CACGCCGAGCACGCCGAGCACGCUUGCAGCGGCGUCAGCUUGGGGCGGCCCCCGACCUCUCCAGCCAGAACUGCGUGAGAGGGAGGCACGCCAAGGAAAUGGAGACCCCCAGGGUGGCCUGGUAACCACAGCUGUAAGCGAAGGCCCAGAAAUUCCUGAACUACCCUGGAAGCUGAGGGUCGUCCCUUCGAAAGGAGGUCAGGUUCAAAACAACAGCUUCCAGCAGGUUCCUGGUGGAGGUGGGGAAGGGCUCACCCAGCAACUCGAGCCAACUGCAGUCGGCCAAUCUCCUGCUAGAUUUCAGUGGCAAGAGGCAGUGGCAGCCAAUGAAGAGGCCUAGAGCUUGUGUCAUAGACCUCAAGGCAAGCUGGAAUAACCAGAAGGCAGGCACACGUGACUGUUUCCAUGGUGACCUCCCUUAGCUACUCAGACUGGUCCUAUUUAUGAGUACUGGAAAAUUCCACCCAGCCUUCAGCCUGAUUUUGUUAGCUUCUCUGCCUGCUUCCUGCUUCCAGCGGGAGGGGCUGGGGAUGAAGUCACUGCCAGUGUUUAACCCCCUCACCCGGAGGGGGUCUGGGGUUCAGGGAGAGGGAAGAGAGCCCAAGUCUGAGCUGGGAGCCACCGCUUGUAGCAUACAUCAUGUGCUGGGACUGUACCAGGCUCCUGAUGACCUCACAGCCCCGAGCAGAGGGCACACCACUGAUCGCCCCUAUUUCACUGAGGAGUGAACUUGAAUCAGAGAGGUUAGGUAACUUGCAAUGUCACAGGCUCAGGCUUGGAGUUCUUUUGGGGCCUUUCUCUCCAAGACAGCUCCCUAAGGCUUGAAGUCUUAUAGGACCAGAUGAGGCGGGGAUGGGGUGCAGAGGAGGGUCAGAGCCAUGGUUUUCGUGGGAGCUGAAGGAAGGCCUCACCAGCCAGGAGGGCGACUUUGACUUUUAGGCUGAGGGGAAGAAUAAGGAGGA